rnacentral:misc_RNA from 1 species
GUAGGUGGUUCGCCUGCGACAUCAGUCUGCUUAGCAGGCAACAUCUCUACUGUGCUAGAAAUUACAAGAGUAUUACUAGCAGCCUGCUCAGCAGGUUCACAGAUCAAAUAGAGGUGGCCCUCAAGGGGUUAAGAUAUGAUCGAUUUAAUGCUGCAACAGCAUUAGGCAUGUGGAACCUGCGGAAGGAUCAUUAAAGAGUUUAGAGGCUUCGGCCUACUACUCCACCCUUUGUUUACAAUACCAUUGUUGC